GGCAGCGACACUGUGUGUUGUUGGGUAGGGGAGCGUUCUGUAAGCCUGUGAAGGUGGCCUGUGAGGGUUGCUGGAGGUAUCAGAAGUGCGAAUGCUGACAUAAGUAACGAUAAAGCGGGUGAAAAGCCCGCUCGCCGGAAGACCAAGGGUUCCUGUCCAACGUUAAUCGGGGCAGGGUGAGUCGACCCCUAAGGCGAGGCCGAAAGGCGUAGUCGAUGGGAAACAGGUUAAUAUUCCUGUACUUGGUGUUACUGCGAAGGGGGGACGGAGAAGGCUAUGUUGGCCGGGCGACGGUUGUCCCGGUUUAAGCGUGUAGGUGUGUGUUCCAGGUAAAUCCGGUUCACUUUAACACUGAGGCGUGAUGACGAGGCACUACGGUGCUGAAGCAACAAAUGCCCUGCUUCCAGGAAAAGCCUCUAAGCAUCAGGUAACAUCAAAUCGUACCCCAAACCGACACAGGUGGUCAGGUAGAGAAUACCAAGGCGCUUGAGAGAACUCGGGUGAAGGAACUAGGCAAAAUGGUGCCGUAACUUCGGGAGAAGGCACGCUGACACGUAGGUGAAGUGAUUUACUCAUGGAGCUGAAGUCAGUCGAAGAUACCAGCUGGCUGCAACUGUUUAUUAAAAACACAGCACUGUGCAAACACGAAAGUGGACGUAUACGGUGUGACGCCUGCCCGGUGCCGGAAGGUUAAUUGAUGGGGUCAGCGCAAGCGAAGCUCCUGAUCGAAGCCCCGGUAAACGGCGGCCGUAACUAUAACGGUCCUAAGGUAGCGAAAUUCCUUGUCGGGUAAGUUCCGACCUGCACGAAUGGCGUAAUGAUGGCCAGGCUGUCUCCACCCGAGACUCAGUGAAAUUGAACUCGCUGUGAAGAUGCAGUGUACCCGCGGCAAGACGGAAAGACCCCGUGAACCUUUACUAUAGCUUGACACUGAACAUUGAGCCUUGAUGUGUAGGAUAGGUGGGAGGCUUUGAAGCGUGGACGCCAGUCUGCGUGGAGCCGACCUUGAAAUACCACCCUUUAAUGUUUGAUGUUCUAACGUGGACCCGUAAUCCGGGUUGCGGACAGUGUCUGGUGGGUAGUUUGACUGGGGCGGUCUCCUCCUAAAGAGUAACGGAGGAGCACGAAGGUUGGCUAAUCCUGGUCGGACAUCAGGAGGUUAGUGCAAUGGCAUAAGCCAGCUUGACUGCGAGCGUGACGGCGCGAGCAGGUGCGAAAGCAGGUCAUAGUGAUCCGGUGGUUCUGAAUGGAAGGGCCAUCGCUCAACGGAUAAAAGGUACUCCGGGGAUAACAGGCUGAUACCGCCCAAGAGUUCAUAUCGACGGCGGUGUUUGGCACCUCGAUGUCGGCUCAUCACAUCCUGGGGCUGAAGUAGGUCCCAAGGGUAUGGCUGUUCGCCAUUUAAAGUGGUACGCGAGCUGGGUUUAGAACGUCGUGAGACAGUUCGGUCCCUAUCUGCCGUGGGCGCUGGAGAACUGAGGGGGGCUGCUCCUAGUACGAGAGGACCGGAGUGGACGCAUCACUGGUGUUCGGGUUGUCAUGCCAAUGGCACUGCCCGGUAGCUAAAUGCGGAAGAGAUAAGUGCUGAAAGCAUCUAAGCACGAAACUUGCCCCGAGAUGAGUUCUCCCUGAGACUUAGAGUCUCCUGAAGGAACGUUGAAGACGACGACGUUGAUAGGCCGGGUGUGUAAGCGCAGCGAUGCGUUGAGCUAACCGGUACUAAUGAACCGUGAGGCUUAACCUUACAACGCCGAAG
rnacentral:rRNA from 1 species